GACGAACGCUGGCGGCGUGCCUAAUACAUGCAAGUCGAGCGAGCGGAACCAACAGAUUUACUUCGGUAAUGACGUUGGGAAAGCGAGCGGCGGAUGGGUGAGUAACACGUGGGGAACCUGCCCCUAAGUCUGGGAUACCAUUUGGAAACAGGUGCUAAUACCGGAUAAUAAAGCAGAUCGCAUGAUCAGCUUUUGAAAGGCGGCGUAAGCUGUCGCUAAGGGAUGGCCCCGCGGUGCAUUAGCUAGUUGGUGGGGUAACGGCCUACCAAGGCGACGAUCAGUAGCCGACCUGAGAGGGUGACCGGCCACAUUGGGACUGAGACACGGCCCAA
rnacentral:rRNA from 1 species